CCAAUGGGACGCGGAGGGACAUUAC
rnacentral:rRNA from 1 species